UUCUCAGUAACAGUGCUCAACCUGUGUCCAUGGUGACACGCACUCUUUUGUAGACAGCAAAUGAACACUCAACAGCCACAGUAACAGAGGAACAGAAAAUCAUUAACAGGUGGGAAGUGCACUGACUGAAAUCAGUUCAGUCAGUUGUUGCUUGAUUUCAUUUUAGUUUUUUUUACUCGGGACAUCACUUCAGCUGAAACUGUUUUAUGAUAAGCUGCAUGAUCCAAAGUCUCAAAUUGAAUAAGUCUUCUAGCAAGGAGACUGAAUAGUAGCCAAUAGUAUGUUAAGGGUUGAUUUAUCAGGAAUUUAAUGAGAGAAAUACUUUGUUAGACUCGCCUGUGGUUGGUAAAGCAACAUAAAGGAAAACAUCCCUCCUCAUCUGCUCAUCAUCUGACUACCCACCUUAACCUCCCCUUCAGAAGAGGAGUGGAAAAGAGGAGAGGCAAGCACAACUGCUCCGGCUCCGGCUGUAUAAGGGUGAGGAGGAGAAGCUGACAACAGAGCGAACUUGGUUACUAGUGAGAUGCAACUUGGGGAGGGAACGCUUAACUGCCGCGGGGUAGCCUACAACAUCCAACGCAAGAAACCCUCCAACUGGACCGCCUGGAAGACGAGACGGCUCUCUCUCUCGGAUCCUGUGCCCUUCCACUGCCAAAGGAUGAGGGUUUCUGACUUUUCCCUUAGUUGCCAGGGAUGUCUGUGGACAGCGGAAAGGCGAACAACCCCUCCGGCAUGUCCAAUGUUAUGUUCCUCCUGAUGCUCUGCAAGACCGGUCUGAGGGGUAAACUACAGACCUUUACUGGGACAAUGGUAAACACUGCCGUCUGUGAUGAAGAAAGAGGAAUUCAAGAUAAGGAGGGCACAGAGGAAUCCAUUCUGGCCAUGCUGGGGAUCAUCGGCACAAUUCUCAACCUGGUUGUCAUCAUCUUCGUCUACAUCUAUACAACGCUGUGACUGUCUUCAAAAUAAACUCCCUUCAAUUGCACUCAACAGCACAGCAAGCCUACCUGCUUCAGCAGAGUUGUUUGGCAGGAACGUAAAUCUGUUUUGAGGCGGCGCUGCGUCAUCAAUCCACUUUGACAAAGGAAUCUAAGAAUGUGUGAUAACUGCAUUGCAUGUAUGCCGCUGAGAGGUGUUGAGACUUUGUCAAUGGGAGACUGGCCAAUUCCUGUGAGGCUGUAUUCCAGGGCCUAAUGUAUCAUUUCAAGUCUCUGGUAUUGCUUUGAACAUUUAACCUAUACAUAUAUACAAUACAUGAGGUGUGCCACUUCCUUCACAGGUACAGUACCAAGGAGGAAGUGAACAGACUGCAAUCUAGUGCAAAGGACUAAUCUGACCAGCGCUGCAGAAGCAUUUUGAAAGAGCCUGAUAUACUGUUAACAUUUAAACUGUAUAAUGGUAAAGAGGAAUGUAGAACAUGAGCAAAAAAAUUAAGCCACAUCUCUUUUUACACAAGUACAACAAAUUUCUUUGGAGGAAUAUACAUUCAACUAAGUGUGCUUAGUGGGAAGGUGACAGCAAAGGCCCUCUGAGUUUAUGAUGGUUCAAUAUUAUUUAUUGUCGUGUUCUGAUUUCUGUUUGAAGGAAAGCUUUUGUACAUUGUUACUAUACUAACACAUACAGUGACAGUACUAUUUCCUUGCUUAUGCCUGUUCUUUGCUACUUACAAAAUGUGUACAAUUUCUAUUUCUUAUAGUUCUAAGUGUUGCUGAGAGGUCUUCUCAGGAGUUUCAAGUCAAACGUUGCUCGAGUUUUGUUUUCUACAGUAGGAAGUAGAAUCAAAUUUGAUCACAUGUAUGAUCUGCAUGAGAAAUUAUACUGUAUUAGAAUUAGCGUUUAAGAUAGUGACAUGGGAUAUAGUGAAAUGGCUAUUACAGUGUAAUCACUCACUUCAUCUAAAUGUAUGUGAUGUUUACUGAGCUUUAGAAUUUUUUGUGUUGCCCCUUCCUUCAGCACCGUGGUAUCAAAAUGUUACUUCCACAAUUUGACUGCAAUGCUUUGAGAAGAAAUGAAAAGCACAAUUGAGGAAUGACCAUUAAGAGUAUGUACGAAUGUAAGGGCAAACGGUGUGUGAAUUUUAUACACUGUAACCUGCAACCCCUUAUGAUUCCAAGAAAGUGCCUGAAGUCAAGUGUCUCAUUCCAUUAUCCAUUUCUCCAAGCAGAAGAGGAUAAGUUACAAGAGAAUCUAUAGGCAAGACAAACCACACAAGUAAUAUAUUUUAAAAGUGCUUCAUAGUUAUUUAACUCAGCUAUCUCCAGAACACUGGUAACUAAUUACAGAAUAUACUAGUGAUUACUAGAGUUUGUUUUACGAUUACAUCCAACAAUUUCAAAUAUACUAUUGAUUUUCCUUUAAAAAGCCAUGAGAAAAGGUUUGUAAUUUCUUCCAAAGGUGACUAGUUCUAUAUUCCAGGCAUAGCAGACAUUUUGAGGAGGAACCAUUUAGUAAGUGUAUGGAGAGUGUUGAGAAUGUAUUUCAGAUUUGUUCAUUUAAUAGUUGGACCUUGUCGUACUUUUCUUGUGAAAUUGAAAUGCCUAGUGGAACAAGGUGCUGUGAAAUGUAGUUUAAUAGCAUUGCAUGGGCCUUAGUGACUAUCAGCAAUAUGGUUGGUGUAUGCUUAGAGUAUCUUUUAAUUCUCAGAGCCAUUCUCUCAGACCUCUGGACUAAGAAGUACACUCAUGAGAAAUAAUGCUCGUUAUUACAGGAUUACUGUUGUCUUAAUCUGGUUCUAGCAAACUGGACCACAAAGCCUAUUAUACAUAGUUUAAUGGGUAAUACUGGAAGUAGUAAAAAGACCCAAAUAUUCAAAGAUUUUAUCACCCACUAAUUUUUCUUCACAUUUAAGAUUAUGCAGUAUUUCUUGCUUGACAUUUUGUUAAAAACAAUGAAAUAAAACCUAUAAAAAUUGAUAAUA